rnacentral:rRNA from 1 species
GACGAACGCUGGCGGCGUGCUUAACACAUGCAAGUCGAACGGUGAAGCGCCUUCCUUCUUGGUGGGUGUGGAUGAGUGGCGAACGGGUGAGUAACACGUGAGUAACCUGCCCCCUUCUUCUGGAUAACCGCAUGAAAGUGUGGCUAAUACGGGAUAUUCUGGGUCUGUCGCAUGAUGGGUCUGGGAAAGAUAUUGUUUCGGUGGGGGAUGGGCUCGCGGCCUAUCAGCUUGUUGGUGGGGUGAUGGCCUACCAAGGCGGUGACGGGUAGCCGGCCUGAGAGGGUAGACGGUCCCACUGGGACUGAGACACGGCCCAGACUCCUAGGAGGGGCAGCGGUGUGGAAUAUUGCACAAGGGGCGGAAGCCUGAUGCAGCGACGCCGCGAGAGGGAUGGAGGCCUUCGGGUUGUGAACCUCUUUCGCCAGUGAAGCAGGCCUGCCUCGUUUGUGGGUGGGUUGACGGUAGCUGGAUAAGAAGCGCCGGCUAACUACGUG